GGCAACUCGCAGGUGAAACGCGUGGCAUAUUUUCUGUGCGCAUGCGUUAGGUCCGCCAUUACUCUGGCCAGUAACUUGACGCUGGCGUACUAUAAAAUAAUAUUGGAAAAGUGCGAUUUGGGGAUAAUAAUCGCCUAAAACGCAAACUGUUUUGGAAGAUCAUGGAAUUUUGUGACAAAACGUGAAAGAAAUAAGUUGUUAUUUUGGCAUUCAGUUCUCAAGUGAGGAUUAUGUUGCAAGUGUCUGGUGUUAUGUAGUUUUAGUAUGUUGGAUUAGAUUUUAGUGGCUACUGGUUGCAGUAGCAUGUUAAACUUUGUUUGUUAAAUUCUAUUACGUUUUUAUUAUGAUUGGGCGGUUUUUGUAAGGGUGCUCUAUUAAACAUUGAUCACAAUUUCUUCAGCUUAAUUGUUUAGUAUACCACUAUUUAUAGAGAAAUUAGCAUUUCUUCUGCACCCCCAUCUAGCUUAAGCUAGGAGGGCUGCACACCCCUCUCUUAUAUCCAUCUCUGAAUAAAGUUGUCAUUAAAUUUUUUAAAUG